AUACGGAAGGUCCGGGCGUUAUCCGGAUUUAUUGGGUUUAAAGGGAGCGCAGGCGGAGAUGCAAGCGUGACGUCAAAUUUCGGGGCUCAACCCCGUCUCGCGUCGCGAACUGCGUCCCUUGGUUGCGGGAAGGGGAGGCGGAACUCGUGGGGUAGCGGUGAAAUGCAUAGAUAUCACGAAGAACUCCGAUCGCGAAGGCAGCCUUCCGGCCCGUCAACGACGCUCAUGCUCGAAGGUGCGGGUAUCAAACAGGAUUAGAUACCCUGGUAGUCCGCGCAGUAAACGAUGGACACCCGCGGUUUGGCCUGUAUGGCUGAGCCGCCAAGCGAAAGCGUUAAGUGUCCCACCUGGGGAGUACGCCGGCAACGGUGAAACUCAAAGGAAUUGACGGGG
rnacentral:rRNA from 1 species